GGUCGUCGUGGCCGGGUUGGUAGGGCCUACGACUUUGAUUCGUCAGGUUGUCGGUUCGAGACCCGCCACGGUCU